rnacentral:tRNA from 1 species
AGAAACUUAGGAUAAAUACAUAAACCAGAGGCCUUCAAAGCCCCAAACAAGAAAUAAACCUCUUAGUUUCUG